rnacentral:pre_miRNA from 1 species
AGUGGGAUGACUGGGUCAAAUGGUGGUUCCAUUCCAAGUUUUCUUGAGGAAUCUCCAUACUGUUUUCCAGAGUGGUCGCACCAAUUUGCAGUCCCACCAGCAAU